AUAGGGCUGCUCUCUCUGCUGCUGCUGCUCGGUGGUGCAGUGAUUCUUUAAUAUGUGCUCUCCCUCUGGAUCAGCUCUGCUUCUAUCUUUAUCUCUUCUGUCUGAAGGGGAUUUCCACAGCUCGAGUCUGAUUCCAUCUGGAGGAGGAAGAACUCCUGACUGAGCUUGAGACAAAGAACACACACAUUUAGUCCAAAACAAAAGAAAGUUUCUCACACAUGGAACUUUAAAUUUAGCACACACACUCAUCCCAUGCUGUGUGUGCAGCUGAGCAGCAGCUGUGUGUGUGUGCGUGCGUGCGUGUGUGAGAGUGUGUGUGUGUGCGCUCUCAGGACUGCAGUCAGAGGGAGUUUCUGCAGCAGCUCGUGUUCCUGAUUUGGCCUUAAGGCUCACUGAAGUAAAAGUGAAAGCAUGAAGAGAGAUCAGCCGUUUGCUCCUUUGUUAGGUUCAUCCAACGUUUAAGAACACUCUGGAUUUAUUAUCUCUUUAGACAGAACCUCUGUGUGGAAUAACCUUCAGGAUCCAUGGUUUACAGUCCACAGGAUAUCGUCUGCAGAAGGAGGAAGACUGCGGGAUCACCGUGAAGGAACUGUGUCUGAAAUCAUAAGACAGACUGUGGGAACUGAGUCUGAACAAUAAGUCAGAUUUUAAAGUUUCACAUCUGCAUUUGAACUUUCUCAUGAUGGUGUCCUCUCCACACUCUGAGUCUCUUUUACAUCCCGAACACGUCCACCGGAUCUCUGUCGCUGUGAUGUUUCUGUGAGAGAUGAUUCACCAUCGGAAACAUGAAACAGAUCUUUAUGAUGAGCGAGGCAUCAUAAACUGGAUGAAAGCAGUUUCUAUAUAGCAGCAGGCCAUCACCCUGACCUCGGUUUGAUUAGUUAAUGAUCCACUUGUUAUGUAGCCUGUUAGCUCACAGUUACAGUUUAAUCAUGACAGAUGAGAAGCUCCAUGCAGAGUGGUCGGCGUCUGAAUAAAGUGUUGGUUUGAUGUUAUGCUGGAUGAAACUGUGUGCUGCUUUUGAUUAUCCCAAUAAAUCUAUAAACGUCU